GCGUGAGGAGAGAGAGGGGUGCAUCGACAAAGCGUUGGAGGGUCUGAGGCAGUGAAACUGGCUGGCCUACAAUGUCCGCUACCAUGCGGAGCACCCUGCAAACUGUUCCCGAGUCUGUGCCGGCCGACCACGUCACAAACACCAAAAAACUACUAAAUCCUCCGAGCAGAAUCAUCGUCGUCGUCGUCGUCGUCGUCCUCGCCGACCGAUCGGGCCGCUGAAUCGAUGUUGAGGACUUAUCGGCGCACAGUUCGUUAUCUAGAAACGAUCGUCGCGCGACGCGACCGAAGAGAAGCUGGAAAGUAACGACUGCCGCCGUCGUUCUCGUCGUCUUCGUGGCCACACUGAGAGAAAGAGAGCGGAGAGAACAGAAGACAGACCGACAGAAAGGGAGAGAGAGAAAGAGAGAGAGAGGGAGAGAGAGAGAGAGAGAGAGAGAGAGAGAGAGAGAGAGUGAGACAGAGAGUGGCUUUCACUAUUCCACGAGGACACCGCGAUCAUGGACGAUCAAGAGAGUCCGUUUGUGCGAUCGCAGGCCAGCAGGAGCAUGAUUCGGCCGCAACCUGGUGGACGAAAGCUCCUGCUGUCGUCGACCACCGCCGAGAGAGCGUGCCAGAUCGCGGUGAAUCUCCACGACACGGCGGUGGAGAGGAAGAGCCCGGGUACUCCGAAGAGAUUGUCGGCGCCGCACACGCCCUUGGAGAGCCUGAAGCAGUGGGAGCUGGUGGAGGACGAUAAGGGUCUGCAGGUGGUCGAGAAACGACCGGGCGCUUCCCUGAGUCCCAUCAGGCCGAAGGAGAUGAUCGCGGGCUCGUUGUACAAUAAUAGUCCCGUUUCCGGGCGGCGAUUCCACGAGAAGAGCGCCGCGGACGCCGGCCUGGAGAAGAAGCUGAGGGCCUUCAACCACUCGAAGAUCGUCCAACCGGUCGGACUUCCGCUCGGUCAGCAGCCGCAGGAAGAACCGCCCGCCACGGCGGACUUGAACGCGCCGCUCAGUCUUGAUUUAAUCCUGAAGCAGCGGACGUCGAGCUCAAUCGUCGAGAGCACCGACAUGCUGCAGCGGCUGGAACAGCAAGUCAUGGCCAUCGAGCUGGGCACGAUCGCCGGUAGGACGCGUCAGUUGGAGAACAGCUCCGAUUUCGGGCCGGAAGUACAGCUGAGAUACAGGGAACACGAAGACCUGCUGCGGAACGUGACGGACGACGAGGCCGACGGGGCCUCGCUGCUGCACCGUGGGGACGCGACGCGGAAUUCCACCGGGAACGCCGGCAUCACGCCGAAGAAGCCCACCGUGAAGUUGUCCAGGACCGCCUCGGACACGCGCCGAGGACAAGAGGCGGAGAUGCCCCUCAAGGGUCAAUCCAGGAUGCAACAGGCUCGCACGUUCGUCCGGCCGAUCGUCGCCAAGAAGGAUCACCAGCGUCACCAUCAGUUGCAGCAGCAACAGCAACAGCAACAGCUGCAGCUGCAGCAACAGCAGAACAACUCGGCGACCAUUCCGUUCAGGCCGUUGUCGGACAUCAUGCAGAAGGGUAUUCCGAGUGAUAAGGAGACGGGGGAUGGCGUAGGGGUGUCGAGUAGCGGGAGUCGGCUCUCGUCGAGGAGCCGGACCUCCGAGGAGCCUCACAUCGGCAAGUACAAAUUACUGAAGACCAUCGGCAAAGGGAACUUUGCCAAGGUGAAGCUUGCUAAACAUGUGCCCACGGGAAAGGAGGUAGCCAUCAAGAUCAUCGAUAAGACUCAACUGAAUCCUGGUAGCCUUCAAAAGCUGUUCCGUGAAGUCAGGAUAAUGAAGAUGCUCGACCAUCCGAACAUAGUCAAAUUGUUCCAAGUAAUCGAGACUGAAAAGACACUGUACCUGGUAAUGGAGUACGCCAGCGGUGGGGAGGUCUUCGACUACCUGGUCUUGCAUGGACGAAUGAAGGAGAAGGAGGCGAGGGCGAAGUUCAGGCAGAUCGUUUCUGCUGUGCAAUACUGCCAUCAAAAGAAGAUCAUCCACAGGGACUUAAAAGCGGAGAACUUGUUGCUCGACAGCGAAAUGAAUAUCAAGAUUGCAGAUUUUGGUUUUAGCAAUGAAUUCACGCCUGGCAACAAGUUAGACACCUUCUGCGGCUCGCCACCUUACGCGGCGCCGGAACUCUUUCAAGGAAAGAAGUAUGACGGUCCUGAAGUGGAUGUAUGGUCGUUGGGUGUAAUCCUCUACACCUUGGUAUCCGGCUCACUGCCUUUCGAUGGUUCGACGUUGAGGGAAUUGAGGGAAAGAGUAUUAAGAGGAAAAUAUAGGAUCCCGUUUUAUAUGUCCACCGACUGUGAAAAUCUUCUCAAGAAAUUCUUGGUGCUCAACCCGACAAAGAGAGCCUCACUAGAGAACAUAAUGAAAGACAAAUGGAUGAAUAUGGGAUAUGAGGAUGACGAAUUAAAGCCGUACUUAGAACCUGAACCUGAUUAUAGAGAUCACAAGAGGAUAGGUGAGUCUGCCAAGGCCCUAGCCAGUCUAGGAUACACUCGGAGCGAAAUAGAAGACUCCCUAGGACAAGCCAAGUAUGACGAUGUAUUCGCCACGUAUUUACUCCUAGGCAGGAAAACGACAGACCCCGAAAGCGAUGGGUCACGGUCGGGUAGCUCGCUGUCGCUGCGUAACAUUCCGCCUCAAGUCGGCUCGGGUGGUGGAGGAGGUAGCAGUGGAGGGACAGGCGGUGCGGUACAAAGUCCAUCGCAUAGAGGUGUUCACAGAAGUAUUUCUGCUAGCAAUCCAAAACCCAGUAGACGGGCAUCGUCUGGUGGUGAGACUCUUCGGGGCGCACCCAGUCCGGGUAAUGCAACAAAUCACAAUCACGCGACCGCGGUAACUGGCGGCGCUGUAACUGGAAGCGGCGGUAGCAAUUUUAAACGGCAAAACACCGUGGAUGCGGCCACAAUUAAGGAGAAUAGCGCUCGUGUCUCAGCCAGCCGACCUUCCGCACCGAAAAACAGUCCCGGGCAAUUAGAUACUAUGACGAUGUUCAUUCUAGGCGUGGGUACAAGUCCUGGUGGUAAAGCAAGGGUAGGCAAGAGCAACACUAUGAACGCAGGGGUAGGUGGUGGUCGGCCUCUCACCUCACCUGCUCCUGGUUCUGUUGGUCGACGUAGUACCAUCUCCUAUGAUCAAGCGAAAACGUCAUCUUCAUCCACUGAAAGAACCAACGAAGUACCCAGCCUGGGCGAGGGCACUAGACCAACACGGGGUCACACGAAGUCUGCGAGCAUCAGCGCAGGUCACCGUUCCUCAAGUGGCGUACCCCCCAGCGACCAUUCACUACUGGACCCACAACCACGCAACAACUCCUUACUCGCCACUGCUGACCCCCUUAGGCAGAGCUUGGGUGUAUCCGCAAGCAAUAGACUGCCUACAGCCACUACACCAGCAUUUCCACGGAAUGUUCCGAGUCGCAGUACGUUCCAUUCUGGCCAAAACCGAGCACAGCGAAAUCACACUCAGGGUCAUACGCAAACGCAGGACACGAAUGCAAUUAGCCCUCUAGCGAGGCCGUCCUUCUUCUCGAAAUUAUCUUCGAAGUUCUCCAAACGCCCCAUGGACCCAUCCGUACCCCCCAAGCACCCAGUAGUGAGCGGAGCUACCACUAACGACGAACAGGUUAAACCACGCAGUCUACGCUUCACAUGGAGUAUGAAGACUACCAGUAGUCGAGACCCUAACGAAAUUAUGUCAGAGAUCCGAAAGGUAUCGAGAAAAGCGUACUUAUAUUAGCAGAUAUACGUAACACGAAAAAAGGUGAUACGUUUGCAAAAUUGUAAGGAUUAGAGGCACAAGAUUGACUCUCGUGUCCUGGAUGCCAAUAAAUGCCAGUAUGAACAACGCGAGCGAUUCCUCUUGCUAUGUGCGCACGGCGAAGCGGCGACAGACAGCCAAGUACAAUGGGAGAUCGAGGUAUGCAAGCUGCCGCGGCUUUCCUUGAACGGAGUGCGGUUCAAGCGUAUUUCCGG
rnacentral:misc_RNA from 1 species